GGGGCAUGGUAAAGAAGACUGUACAGAGAACGUCUUUCUUGCCAUGCUCGCAGUAAUCAUCUGUACGGUAAUAUUACCUAGGGCAAAUGUGGAAGUAUUUCAGACUUAUACUCUUGACCCUUCAUGCGUAAGAACCCUUACAUGGGCCGAUCCUUCCAGGAGGACCACAGAAAAAAACUUCAAGACCACGUGGAUUGCUGCAACAGAGAGGAAUUCUCAGGAAUGCUCGAGCCAUGAAGACAAGAGGAGAGACAGUUCAGAGAUGGAGAUGCUGACGACACUUGGCCAUGCUAGCAGUCAGCAGCUGUGCGUCGCUGCAGGUUGCCCAGGGCCAAACCAGAGAGGGUCGGCCCUGCAUUGCCACCAUUUGUCCACCAUCCAGAACUGAAAUAUUACUGCUGACAUGUACACAUAAGAAACUGUCGGACACUGCAACAUGAACUUCGCCU